AAAUCAACACACACCUUAACCAGCAAGUGAGAUCACCCAACACAUGGAAGAGAAAAAGACCACCCCAAAUAGAAACUGUUAUUCACUUAGCCCCUUAAAAUAAAAUAUCUUCCUACAACAAUAUACAAAAUGGGAGGGCGGUAGGAGCUGGAACCCA